GGAGGAUCCAAGCGUUAUCCGGAAUCAUUGGGUUUAAAGGGUCCGUAGGCGGUUUAAUAAGUCAGUGGUGAAAGCCCAUCGCUCAACGGUGGAACGGCCAUUGAUACUGUUAAACUUGAAUUAUUAGGAAGUAACUAGAAUAUGUAGUGUAGCGGUGAAAUGCUUAGAGAUUACAUGGAAUACCAAUUGCGAAGGCAGGUUACUACUAAUUGAUUGACGCUGAUGGACGAAAGCGUGGGUAGCGAACAGGAUUAGAUACCCUGGUAGUCCACGCCGUAAACGAUGGAUACUAGCUGUUGGGAGCAAUCUCAGUGGCUAAGCGAAAGUGAUAAGUAUCCCACCUGGGGAGUACGUUCGCAAGAAUG
rnacentral:rRNA from 1 species